ACACAAAAUGGCGACACGUGGUUAGCAUUCGUCGCCAACGAGAAAUUGGGGUCGGCCCGAAAGCUCUAGAAUGCACCCCUAUUCCUCCCCGGGGCCAUUCCCGCUCAACGAGUUUUAUGACCUAAAAAACCCCACAGGCUGGUCUGAAGGUCGGAGGCCUAAUUUUAACGCGUUUUCCUCCCUUUAAUUUGAAACGGGAACGCGAAUAACUAAAAUAGGAAGACACUUAAAGAUGAAGUGCUUAAUUCAAGGUCACAGAAUGUCGGGGAUGGACCUCCAGAUUUCCUUACUGGUGAGACGUGGUCUUGUAACACAGUGGUUAAGAAUGUGACUUUGGAGCCAGCCUGCUAGGGGCUGAAUUCUGACUCAGCCAUUUAUUAACUGUGUGACCUUAGAUGGAGUCUCACUCUGUAGCCCAAGCUGGAGUGGCGUGAUCUCGACUCACUGCAACCUCCGCCUCCUGGGCUCAAGUGAUUCUCGUGCCUCAGCCUCCUGAGUAGCUGGGACUACAGGGGACCAGAUGUGCAGAGGUAAUGAAUACCAGGGAAUCAGGAAACCACUGGAUCAGUUCUUUGAGCCAUAGAACAACACUCAUCCCAGCAGCUGGGAAGCUAUCUGCAAAAGUCCAUCUGCAGAAAGGGCUUCCUGGUCUUGCGUGUGGCUGGGCCAUUUCUCUGGAUGCAGGUUUUUCAUUAUACAGUCUUCUCAAAGGACCACCUGCUCUCAACACCUUCUCGGUGACUCCAUUUCCCCUCCUC
rnacentral:antisense_RNA from 1 species